CUUCCGGAAGUCAGGGCCGCGGCGCUUCUGGUCCCGGAGACUUGGGGCUCCCGGGCUUCUGAGCGGCUCGGGUUCCGCGCUGCCGGCAGGGCUUGGGGGCGCCUUAGAGCCGAACCCCGUUUUUUCAGGAAAGGGCGCUGCGACCACCCCCGUCCCGGGCCUCAGCCCCUCUGCUGCAGACCCUCGGGAUCGUCGCUGGAAAGAUUCUGAAGCUUGGCGGAGAGGGGUGUGUGAGUGGACACCAGUGAAGUAACGGUUUUUGUGUUACGAUGAUUUCUGUUUUCCUCUGCUGCCCUGUAAUGGCAGGAACUCGGAUAGUCUGGUCUUCAGACCAGGAGGACUCCCAGGAGAGAACGGAGAGCCAGUGUGCUGUGUGUCACGGUCCCUGGAUGAACGUUUGUGGAACUGGAUUGAAUUAAACAAGACGUGCAAAGCAAGUGGUUCACGAGAUUCGAUUGCUGUAGGGACCCCGUGGGUGUGGAAUCAGACAGUAUUGGUCCUUUCAUGACUGGCUUAUUUCACAAAACCCGAUGCCGUCGAGGUCCAUCCAUGCUGAGAUAUUUACGGAGCAUCCCCAGCUGCUGGAUGCUGGGACCCACCAGUGGGCAAGAGGGCCGUGCCCACCCCUUCCUGGAAGAGACACUCACUCAGUAAAUGCAGAGAUUCAGUGUUGGGGUAACCCCAGCACACAGCCCUGAGGGAGGAAGCCCAGUGAUUUGAUCGGAUUUGCUUUUCUCUUCUGCCUCGGAUUCUGUCCAACCCCUGGAAGGACCUCUGAGGUGUCCCGUGGCUGGUUCUAGGCCCCAUUCAAGCCUCCUCCUCCAGGAAGCCUUCCCAGUCCUGGGCAUCUGUAGCCAGCUCGGUGUUUCUCACCUGGGGCCUGGGACGUCUCCCAUUCUGAACUGCCGUGUUUUGGGUUUACUGUUCUCUGGCUUUUGGUCCCAGCCGGACGGUGGCCUCUUGUGUUCAGGGACAAGGCAAGGAGCAUCCAUGCACCCCCACAGUACCCAGGCUGGGUCUGUGCCCGCCAGGCCCCCGGCAAAGCUUGGAUGAUCCGGGCUGGGCUGUUCUCCUGCUGCUCUCCUGCUGCUGGCCUCGCUGUAUCAGCUGAUGGCCAUCGCGCCUCCUGCACCCGUCAUCCCGCCCUGCACGCCCCCGCCACGUGGAUGAGCUCCCUGGGGAGUUAAUGGCUAAUGGAGUCUCCGCUCUCUCUUGUCAAAUGCAGCCAUCAUCCGCUGGUGCUUUAAGGGACUCUCUCCCGUCCCCACCCUAUUCUCAGGUGGCUCCUACCGACACCACCUAAUGGUGAACCCCAACACGAGGACACAGGCAGUGCCCUCUCAGGACCACUGUGGGUGCCACCAGGCACGACUUCCUAAACACCCACAGAGCAAAAACCUGGAAAUUCAGCCGAGGCACUGGGACCCCAACCUCUCCCAGAGUGGCCCCAGCUCCACGGCGUCUGCAUGGCUCUGGCCGUGAGCAGAGCAGCCCCGACCUCCGUCCUGACCCAGGGCGCCGGAGCGCCACUGCGGAUCUCACCACCACACAAGCCAGACCUGCUAGGAAGCCCUUCCCGGCCACCAGCUCUCGGGCGAUGCACACAACAGGGCCUUUUGAAUUCCCUGAGGUUAAGGUUCCCCUUGAGUCUCCUGGGCUACAAGCAAAUCCCCCGAGGGGAGAAGUCCAGGCUGACACAGCCUCCUGCACCCCUGCCUUGGGAGGCCACACCUCGUUUGCCUCUAGAACCGACGACUGGGGAGCACUGUUUGCAGAGUUCUCUCUCUCUGGGUAAGUUCCGGAGCCACAUCUCACUGGAUCCACCACGGCCUGGGUGGACGGCUCUCGUGUGUUUAUAGCUGGGUCCCUCGCUUGGGAGCUGCCUCCGGGUGGGCGGCCUCUCCAGCCUGUUUGAGUGCUCCACCCGGAGCAGGAAGAGGGCCGUGUGCUCUGGGCAGUGGUUCCUUGGGCACUGCAUGGUCCUUGCUUCCCUCCAGGGCCCACCUUCCCUGGCCGCUGCAUCCCAGCCGAGGGCAGGCCCCUUUUGCCAGCUGAAGGCAGAAAGGCCGGCAGCCCUGGGGUGGCGGCGGGCAGAGAAACCCCCCGGAGUGGUCUCCGUUCUUCUAAAAGUGAUGUUGACCCCCGUGUCGCAGGCAGCUGGCAGGGUGGCAGUUCGAUCUGUCGUUACGGGCUUGCACCACUGCGGUCUCCCACCCAGGGAGCAGCUCUGUCCAACCACAGCGAGCCUCCAGCUCCUACCCUCUGCCUGGGCUGGGGCAGAGCCUGGGGUCUGGGUGGGAGAAGCGUGACUCUGGGAUGAGACCUUACAAAGCAGGUUCCUCCUGGGAGUCAGCCCGGGUCUAAACGCAGCUGGGCAUGAAGGGGUGCCAUCGGAUGUCGAGUUAGGAGGACGAGAGACCUCCAGCCCCGGCACCCGCAUGUCUCUUUGGAAACCAGCUUUGGCUGCGCCCCUGGGGACACUGUCUGCCGUGGCCUCCCGCUCUCCUCCCCGGCACAGGCAGGGGGUCUCCCUCCUCCACCGCCACUCCCUUGGCCUCGCCCUCCCCGCCAGGCACCUGGCUUUUCCCCACCGACCCCCCCGGGGGACUGCGGCCCCCAGAAAGGCUGCACUCUGGGAGCAAAGUGGCCUGAAACCAGAGAAAAGAACGCCGGGGGAUUUGGCUUAAACUCGUUAAACCCAAUGAACCCUCUUGCCGAA
rnacentral:lncRNA from 1 species